rnacentral:lncRNA from 1 species
AGCUACAGCUCUGGUUACCUAACCAAGAGCUUCACAGAUCUUGAAGCCCCAAUAGUAACUGGAGAAAAACACUUGGGAAAUUAUAUCCUUGGUGCACAGCUGGCUGCAUCUGAUGCAGAAGAUUAGACUAAACAAAAAGUUCCAACUAAGGCCAGAGUGGGAGACUUCGCUCAUCCUCCCUCCCCGUCCGUCCUGCACUCUACCUUCCUAUUAGAGGACCAACUUUAUAGCAGAGAGUGAUUUGAAUCUCAACAGAGUUCUUACUCUCCAUGGGCUUGUUGCUCAAGGCCACCAUGGAAUUCUGUUUUCUGUUCCCCAGCAGUGAAGACUCCACGGCAACUCCAGGUGUGGACCAAGUGAAUACAGGAACAGUCCUUUCUGUCAGUAGAAGCUGCAGCUGGCAUGUGGGCAGAACGAGCAAGGCCAUGCAUGG